AGAGAAGGAAGAAGGGAAAAGUGCAAUUCAACAACAAAAAUACUGUUUAUAUGAAACAACAAUAAAAUUGAACCGAAAUGCAUGUUUCAUGGCAUCGAGACCAACUUGUAGCAAAUUACCCGGAUACCUUUCACUAAGAUGCCUCUUCAGAAUCAAUAAGACGCUGGAUGCUACCACUCUAUAGCUUGUUUUUUAGCAUUCUCUCCACAACUCUUGAAAAGUCGCCAUUUUGAUAAUUAAAAUUCAAUGUGACCUGUGGUCACAUGUCAUGGAUAACUGAAUCUGAUUGGUCACGUCCAUUUCUGGACGUAAGAACAGGACUACAUCAAGCAAUGUACCAGACCCUUCCCCGCCGUCCACCCCAAUGACUGUAGGCUGGGGAAUGGUCUGGCUAGCGAGACUAAGGCCCGGGCAAGCCAGGGCUUUGCCCUGGUAGUUUUCAACCAAAACCACACCCAAAAGCCACAACUGUUUAUACUUGCUAUCAGCUCCA